GAGUGUAAUGAAGAGUUUGUAACUCCUACAUUCUACCUUAUGAUUUUGUUAUUUAUAGUAUUUGUUGCCUACACUUUUCUGUAGUAUCAUACCAUUGUACAAUAUGACGGGAAUCAACUGGUUCAGAUGAGACUUCAUAAAUCUUUGAGAUUGUGGACGUUUUAUGUUGAUUUGGAGGAAAGUCUAGGUAAUGUGGAGUCUACUCAGGCAGUUUAUGAACGAAUUUUGAAUUUACAAAUAGCCACACUACAAGUAAUAAUCAAUUAUGCAUACUUUCUAGAGGAGAACAACUACUUUGAAGAUGCUUUUAAGGUUUAUGAAAGAGGAGUGAAGAUUUUUAAGUACCCACUUGCUAUUGAUAUUUGAGUUACAUAUCUCUCUAAAUUUGUGAAGAGACAUGGAAGGACACAAUUGGAGAGAGCGAGAGAGUUGUUUGAGAACGCAGUUGAAAUGAAAACAUGGGAGUGGGACUGGCUUUCGAUGUCGUUUGCAGCAGGAUGGAAGUGGUUUGGGAGCGUGAAGAUGGAACUUACAUGGGAGGUGUUGCAGCAGUUUCAGCUAGGGCACAUAUGUGGGGUUCAGCCUCCGGUCAUCUGCGAAUAUCCAGACAAUCCCUUCUAAUCCUGAAGCGUCUACUGUUUCCUCUGGUCCUACACGUAGGGAUUCCUUCCGACAGCGCAAGCCAAAUACCAGCAAACCACCAUCUUUGCACGUGGAUGACUAUGUGGCUAGGGAGAGGAAUGUUCAUGGGGUUACCAAUGUAAUAGUAGUGCCACGAACAGGAUCUACUGGUGGGAGGCCUCCAUCAAUCCAGGAUCUACCUGAUAAUGAUAACAUUAUGUUAUGAUAACUUU